CCUACGGGAGGCAGCAGUGGGGAAUAUUGCACAAUGGGGGAAACCCUGAUGCAGCGACGCCGCGUGAGCGAAGAAGUAUUUCGGUAUGUAAAGCUCUAUCAGCAGGGAAGAAAAUGACGGUACUUGAGUAAGAAGCUCCGGCUAAAUACGUGCCAGCAGCCGCGGUAAUACGGAUGGAGCAAGCGUUAUCCGCAUGUACUGGGCGUAAAGGGAGGGUAGGCGGCCUGCCAAGUCUGAUGUGAAAUACGGGGGCUCAACCCCGGGGCUGCAUUGGAAACUGGCAGGCGUGAGUGCCGGAGAGGCAGGCGGAAUUCCUAGUGUAGCGGUGAAAUGCGUAGAGAUUAGGAGGAACACCAGUGGCGAAGGCGGCCUGCUGGACGGUGACUGACGCUGAGGCUCGAAAGCGUGGGGAGCAAACAGGAUUAGAUACCCGUGUAGUC
rnacentral:rRNA from 1 species